rnacentral:lncRNA from 1 species
AGGCGCUCUCCAGGUAGUGCUCGUAGGCGUGGUAGAACAUGGCGCGCACCCGCUCCCGGUACGAAGCCACGUCCAGCCCUCGGGCGGCCGCGCCGGGCCCGGCGGGGAUGCGGAGCGCGCAGAGGCACAGCAGCGAACCGAGCGAGCGCAGCAGCGCCAUGGCCGCGCCGAGCCCCGCGCGGAACCGCCGCCACAGCGCAUGCGCACAGAGCGGCUCAGCGCCUCGCGUCCGACCCGCGCCUCCCCUCUGCCGGCUUAAAGCCGUUCCCCCUCGUCCUCACAUCGUGCGAAUAGUCGCUCCCCUUCUCGCUUCGAGCUCGGUACCGACCUCAGCAAGCCCUCUCU